rnacentral:tRNA from 1 species
CCUGGUGUAGCUCAACGGCAGAGCACCUGGCUCGAGACCAGGUGGGUGCGAGUUCGACCCUCGCCACCAGGUCCCCC